GCACUGAGCUACACACUGGUAGAACACCGCAGAGGAAAAAAAGAAAAGAAGCCAACUUAUUGCACUGAUUGCUUUCUAAACGCACUUUAAAACCAGGACCAGCCCAGACGAGGCGGCGCCUUCGGUCCACCAGGUGGCGCUGCGGCACCACAAUAACGGCUGUGGAGAACCCCCCACCCCUCAGCAACCCACCACAGAUAGAUGCGGUCCUGUGGUCCACGUACGCUAGCAUGUGACAUGUUGGUACAGAUAAGAUAAACACGUGCAGCAUCAAGGGCUUCGACGCACCAGCCGGGCUGGGGUGCAGACAGUUUGGCGAGGCCGAGGUGGAGGCGUGGCUGCUGAGGUCCAUCACCGAGGGCGACGGCGCGGGGGCCAUGAUGGGCGGGUGGCCGGGC